GCCUCCGUAGCUGAGACGGAAAUAGCACCCGACUUUUAAUCGGGGGACGCGGGCUCGAUACCUGCCGGGGGCA
rnacentral:tRNA from 1 species